GUGCUCGCAAUAUGAUGCCUGGCUUCGCGGCUGGCUGAAUAUUUUUUCACCCAUGUCUUUUGCGCACUUGUUGUUUCCUGGGCGGGUUCGCCCGCCACCAGGACCAAACCAUAAACCUUUUUUUUAUGCAGUUACCAUCAGCGUCAGUAAAAACAAUGUAAUUAAUUACAACUUUCAACAACGGAUCUCUUGGUUCUGGCAUCGAUGAAGAACGCAGCGAAAUGCGAUACGUAGUGUGAAUUGCAGAAUUCAGUGAAUCAUCGAAUCUUUGAACGCACAUUGCGCCCUUUGGUAUUCCAAAGGGCAUGCCUGUUCGAGCGUCAUUUGUACCUUCAAGCUUUGCUUGGUGUUGGGCGUUUUUGUCUCCCUCUUUCUGGGAGACUCGCCUUAAAACGAUUGGCAGCCGGCCUACUGGUUUCGGAGCGCAGCACAUAAUUUGCGCUUUGUAUCAGGAGAAAAGGACGGUAAUCCAUCAAGACUCUACAUUUUUAACUUUUGACCUCGGAUCAGGUAGGGAUACCCGCUGAACUUAAGCAUAUCAAAAGCGGGGAGGAAA
rnacentral:rRNA from 1 species